GCACCUCCCCCAGGCCCUCCACCCUUAAGUUUUUGUCAGUUUCAGUCUCUAGUCCAGAGCGUCAUAGGGUUUAGGCAUGCUAUAGCUGUCCAGUCCUCCUGGGAAAAGAGUAAGGAUUUACAAUGGCAGACUCAGGGCUGAGUACCCAAGGCUGGAGGCCAGGGGCUAAGGGCAAGGGCUGGAGCUGGGCACUGGCCUUCCAGCUGGGUAUCAGGACCCUGAGGUUAGAGGACAACAGCUGAGAGUGUGGGAGCUAGGAGGUUGGGGCUGUAGGGGUGGAGACACUGGAGUACGAUAGGGUGAAGUCGGUAGGUGAGGAGAAGAAGAGGCUGCAAGGCUUGAGUCUGGGCGACUGACAGGGAACAGAAAAGAAGGGAUAAGGGGAGGGAGGUACAUGCUGAGAGGUUACAUCCCUGCUGUACCUGACAGACUGGGAGUUCCAGAGCUGAAGUCGGUAAUCCGCCUGACUGAGGGGUGGUAUCGGGAAUGGGGGAAAGUAAGGAAAUGCAGCUUGAAAGGCAGUGUGUGAAGGAGACCUGCUCAGUGCAAGGCGGCGUGGAUUCCCAAGACCAGGUCUUAGGCAGCAGCCGCCAGGUUUGCUCCCAGUGCGCUCCAGCCUCCCUACAAGUCGCACGCCGGUGCCCCCAUCCCCCGUGCCAGCUGCAGGCAAGACUUCACAUCCUAGGCCAGCUCCACACUGGCCAUCUCCACUGCUUAGCCCAGGGAGUUACAAGCAGCAAUCACACUGGGGAACUUGCUCCUCGAGAGGAAGGCUGGGCCGGAAACAAAACCCUGAGCACAGCCUAGAGGAGCGAAAACUUAUGGAAAUCAGACAGUGCCUAGAGAGUCCGCAGUCAAGGACAUGAGUCCCCAUCGGCAUGGAAAACAGGUAGCAUUCAACAAACACGUCAAGGUGACGACGGACGCGGCCCUCCUUUGGGCGGGUGACCACAAGGUGGAGCCAAAACGCAAUCCUACACAGCUCACUUGGGCCACCAGGAAUGUUUCCCAUGAUGGCUACUUUCCAGCUUGCUUCUGACAGUCCUUAAUUGCCACAGGUGGUUGUCCUCCCACCUCCAACCGAAUCUCCCCAUGAUGAACCCUCAAUAUCAUGUCACAUCCAACCUGAGAUAGAAGAUGCACCCUCCUAGUCCUAGUGCUGAAAAGAUUAGACUGUGACCAAAUGGGAAAUAAAUUCAUUGAGUAACAGACUGACAAGCAAGAUACAGGAACCAUCUAGUCUUGAAGAAAAAAUAAAAGGUUGUUUACAGCAAAAAGCUACCUGUAGGCACAAAAUUACAUAUCUAAAUGGGCUUUAAGCAGAAAAGCAGCUAAAUCACAAGGGUCAGGUGAGACACUCCAUGGAGUGGGGACUGUGUCUCCAUCAUCUUAGAGUUCUCCAGGAAAGGUCACUUUAUCAUCUCUUUCCACCACUGUUCUAAGCUGUGCCACCCUGAUACACCCUAUGCCUUCUAAGUAAAAACACACACACA